rnacentral:lncRNA from 1 species
GGAACGAACCUGCAUCUCAGAGCUCCAAAGACCACCAAUCCCACUGUGUCACAGCGGGAACUCCUCAAAGCAAAAUCAUUUUCACUCCCAUGAGUCUGACGGGGUAUGAUCAAGCCUUUUUCAUUCUUGUUGUUUUUGCCUCUUUCUUUUGGCUUCGACCGGCAUGUGGAAGUUCCCAGGCCAGGAAUCAAAUCCGAGCCACAGUAGUAACUUGAGCUGGUCCAGUGACAAUGCCAGAUCCCUAACCUGCUGUGCCACAAGGGUACUCCCUGCCUUUUUCAUUCUUAAGGUACCAAAACUGAUCCCCUUCGUUGCUCUUCCUCCUCCGGAGUUUUCCUCCCGCCCAAGUGAGAAGAAACUGGGACUCAGCAAGGGUGAGAGUUUAGCCAAAGUCACCCACUCAAGUGGGGUAGAACCUGUCUCUCACCAGGGCUUCUGACCUCAGGGCUUGCUGGUGGUGAGCGUGGUGCAUUCAGCACUGAGGUUGGUGUCUCACCUGCAAGUUGUGUCUGAGUUGCUGGCUUCAUCUCUCUGAGUCUUAUCUUCCUUGAAGCAAGGAAGUGAGGUGACUUUGCCACUGACAAUGUUCUUCCGGGUACCAGGGGCCCGUGACCUAGUCUUGCCCAGAGUCAGAAUUGGCCCACAGAGACUGGAGCUCCUCUCUAGCCCCCAGACUCCACCAACUAGUACCUCUCCAGUCCCGCCUUUUUUUCUUUUUUUUUUCCAGCUGCACCUGAGGCAUAUGGAAAUUCCUGGGCUAGGGGUCGAAUCUGAGCUGGAGCUGUGACCUGCGACACAGCUGCAGCAAUGCUGGAUCCUUAACCCACUGUUCCAGGGCUGGAUUGAACUGGUGUCUUGACAGAGACAAGCCUAAGCUGGAUUUUUUUUUUUUUUCCUUUUGUUUGCUUUAGGGCUGCACCUGUGGCAUAUGGAGGUUCCCAGGUUAGGGGUUGAAUCAGAGCUGUAGCUGCUGGCCUAUACCACAGCCACAGCAACACCAGAUCUGAGCUGCAUCUGAGACCUACACCACAGCUUGCAGUGACGCUGGAUCCUUAACCCAUGGAGUGAGGCCAGGGAUCAAACCUGCGUCCUAUGGAUCCUAGUCAGAUUCAUUUCUGCUGCAUCACGAUGGGAACUCCCCAGGCUGGAUCUUUAACCCUCUGCACCACAGUAGGAACUCCAAAUUAUUCUACUAACCAUUUCUCUCUCUCUUUCCUUUUUUUAUGGCCGCACCUGCAGUGUAUGGAAGUUCCUGGGCUGGGGAUGAACCCAGGCCACCAGAGGGACAAUCCUGGGAACUUAACCCACUGUGUCACAGCUAGAACUCAGCCCCACCUUUGUUUUGAUCUAACCCCCUUCUCCAGUACCCAUGCCUCCCUCAUAGACAAAGCUGGGGCCUCUGGAUUGAAAUCUUGGGCCCCCAGUUCAGCCCCAGCUUCCUGACCUUAAGUUCUAGCAUCAUGCUCCCUCCCCUCCCCAGUGGAGAGAUGCGCCCUCUCCCUCCUCUCUCCCAGCCCUGACUCCUCCUCUUCCAUCUUCUCCCCACCCCCUCCCUCUCCUACUUCUUUCCUCUCUCCUAUCCCUCAAGUUCUCCGGGUCUCCCACCCUCCCCUACUCCCUGUAUCUCCUCGCCCCUCUCCAACCCUCCUCUUCCCUUCUCUGUGUUCUCCUUCUCCUUGUCGCCUGUGUGGGGCCUCUCCUACCAGGGCACCUGUGUCCCAUCAUCCUGUCAGGGCGGCCCCUCCAUCUCUGAGUGGGGCUGUGGUAGGGCCUGCUGAGUGUCUGCCCUGCCGCAGGCUUUGAACUCUGCCCGGAUCUGGGCUUUGGGAGACCUUGGGCGCAGGCUAUGAGAUGCUGUGCGUUGCCCUGGGUCGGGCUGAUGCCUACAUGCUCUCAGAUGGCACCACCUUUGCUUGGGACACUUGAGGCCCCCAUGCCCUGCUGCUCGCUCUGGACCUAGAGGGCAGCCUGGCUCUGCUGUGUGGAGAGGAGGCAAGGGUGCCCAGCCCAGCUCACCCACCACCAGCCAUUGCCAGGCACCCAAAGGACAGAAGCCUGAGCUAAUUGGGUGGCGGUCUGGCAUUUCCAGAUGCUAGUGCUUGAAGCUGGUGCUGGAGGCUCUGAAGGAUGUGCUGUGAGGUCAGCCGCCUCCCCACCCAAAGGUACACAAGGCUCUAGGCCAACUUUCCAGGCUGGUGGAGUGAGAGUGGGCCAUUCUCUUUUUAAAAAAAAUUUUGUUAGGAAUUCCCUUGUGGCUCAGUGGGUUAAGGAUCUGGUGUUGUCACUUCUGUGGCUCCAGUUACUGCUGUGGCAAGAGUUCAAUCCCUGGACUGGGAACUUCUGCAUGCUGUGGGCACCAAAUUUUUUGUUGUUGUUGUUAAAAUACAUAUAACAGGAGUUCCCAUUAUGGCUCAGUGGGUUAAGAACCCAAUUAGUAUCCACAAGGAUGCAGGUUCGAUCCUUUGUCUUGUUCAGUGGGUUAAGGAUUGGGCAUUGAGGCAAGCUGUGGUAUAGGUUGCAGAUGUGGCUUGGAUCCCACGUUGUUGUGGCUGUGGUGUAGGCCGGCAGCUGCAGCUCCGAUUCACCCCCUAGCCUGGGAACUUCCAUUUGCCAAGGGUGCAGCCCCAAAAAGAAAAAAAAUACACAUAACAUAAAAUUUACCAUUUUAACCAUUUUUUUCUUUUUUCUUUCUUUUUUUUUUUUUUUUGUCCUUUUAGAGCUGCAUAUGAAGGUUCCCAGGCUAGGGGUUGAAUUGGAGCUGUAGCUGCUGACCUACGCCACAGCCACAGCAAUGCAGGAUCCGAGCCACAUCUGCGAUCUACACCACAGCUCAUGGCAAUGCCAGAUCCUUAACCCACUGAACGAGGCCAGGGACUGAACCUGAAACCUCAAGGUUCCUCGUCCGAUUCAUUUCCGCUGCGCCACGACGGGAACUCCAUUUAACCAUUUUAAGUGUUCAGUGGCUCUAAGUACAUUUACGUCUUGUGCAGUUGUCACCAUCAUCCAGCUCUAGAACUUUUUCAUCUUCCUAAAGGGAAACAGAACAAUCACUCCCCAUUUCUCCCUCUGCCAGCUCCCCCCCUCCCACCUUGGGCUCUAAAUGUGACCUGCCCUCCUCCCAGCUCCACACAGGUCUGUUCUCUAGGCUCUCCCUGGCCCCCUCCUUUCCUCUCUUCCCUGGCUCCAUAUUUCUGUCCCAUUGCUUGGCCAGGCUGCUAAUGCCACUCCACACUGGCCCCCGUCUGCUCCCAGCCCUUCCCCUGGUGUUCCUCUCAGAGGGGAGGGUCCCAUUCUCUUGACCUUCCCCUCAGCUCCACCCCUGCCCACCUGGAUGCCUCCCCUCCCUGCUACUCCCUCCUCAGGCCUAGCAGGUGCUCCAGAUCCUGCCCUGACCCUGCCUGGAGAAGGCCACCCAUCCAAUGCCCUUCUCUUGUGACAUUUUCUUUUCUCUUGGCCUCUGGGAGAGAGAGGAAAAAGCACAGGCUUUGGAACUCCCAGAGGUCGGGGUUCAAAUCCUAACCCUGUCCUUUACUGGCUUGACUCUGGCACUCUGGCAAAAAAAGGAAAUGAGACAAAUCAUAUAGGCGUAACAGGGCUGUCGUGAGGAUUAAAUGAGCUCACGGCUCUAAGUGCCCCGCAUCGGGCCCAGGGCCCAGCAGAGUGCAGGGGUCCAGCCCCGCAGCCUCCUUUCCCCUUCAGCUCCUUUACUGCUACUGACCCCUCUGCUGUGUUCCUUCAACAUCAGGGUUUCCUGGAAUGUUUCUUCUCUUGCUCUGGCAUUCACUCAUGUAAUGGAGCAGGGCCCUGUGAGGCCUUCCCAGAGUGUCCCCUCCCCGCCCACUCAUGUCCUGCACCUGCCUUUUUGGCUAUAGAAAACUUUAGUUGAAGAAUCAACUUAAUCAGGGAAGUGAGAAAAUACAGAGAAAAAGGAAAAUAGUCAAGCACGACAGAAAAUAAUAAUUUAGCCAUUCAGCAAAGUCAAGGACCUUCAGUUCUUCUUCAAAGCCUAUAGAUAAUAUUCUGAGCCAUGGGAGUUCCCAUCGUGGCUCAGUAGUUAACGAAUCCAACUGGGAACCAUGAGGUUGUGGGUUCGAUCCCUGGCCUCGCUCAGUGGGUUAAGGAUCUGGCGUUGCCAUGAGCUCUGGUGUGGGUUGCAGAUGCGGCUCAGAUCCUGCGUUGCUGUGGCUCUGGUGUAGGCUGGCAUCUACAGCUCUGAUUCGACCCCUAGCAUGGGAACCUCCAUAGGCCGCGGGAGCGGCCCAAGAAAUGGCAAAAAGACAGAGAAAAAAAAAAAAAAUUCUGAGCCAUGUCUUUGGAGCCCUUUUGCAGGUGUUGAAGCCCCCACUGGGUGGAAGAAGUCAACUGGAUGCUGCCCACAGCACAUGGACCCCAGACUGGCUGGGACCAGAAGGUCGAUGAUGCUGACUCUAAAUGACCUCACCACCCACCAAUCAGGACAAUGUCCACGAGCUGAUCACGCCAGGCUCCUCGAACACUAGAAGACUCCUCCCUACCCCUUCCAAGGGGGGGCAUGGUCCUUGGGGGCACUAGCCUGCUGUGUUCCUCUCUUUGCCUGUCCAUUAAAGCUACUUUUUUUUUAGGGCUGCACCCAUGGUAUAUGGAGAUUCCCAGGCUAGGGGUCUGAUCAGAACUGUACCUGCUGGUCUACACCACAGCAAUGCAGGAUCCAGCCAUGUCUUUGACCUACACCACAGCUCACGGCAGCGAUGGAUCCUUAACCCACUGAGCAAGGUCAGGGAUUGAACCUGUGUCCUCAUGGAUGCUAGUCAGAUUCGUUAACCCCUGAGCCACGACGGGAACUCCUAAAGCUACCUUUUCUGUUUCCUCCAACUCUGUGUCUCCAUGUUUCUAUUGGGCAUCGGUGUAGAGGCAGCCGACAUUUCAGCAACACUCGCCUGUGGAUCAGAAAUCACUUUUUAUCUCUAAUUUGACUACUCCUCUCUCCUGAGUUUCACAUCUCCAAUUCCAGGUGGGACAUCUCCAUCUUUCCCCUGGGCACCCAGGUUUGGAAACUCUGAGUCAUCUCAGACUCUUUCCAUUUCCUCGCCCCACUGCCAUCCCCCCUUUAUUUUUUUGUCAUUCCAGUGGCAUGUGGAUGUUCCUGGGCCAGGGAUCGAACCCACACCACAGCAGUGGCAAAGACAGAUCCUUAACCUGCUGUGCCAUAAGGGAACACCAGUCACUCUGUCCUUUGCUUUUUCCCUCUGAAAGUCCUUUCCAAGGAUUUCCCCUCCUUUCCGUGGCUCUGGUCUUAAUUAGCUCUCCCCUGGGGCAUGGCAGUGAUGUCCCAGCUUCCCUCCAGGCAUUCAUUCCUCCUCGUCCAAGGUAGGCCCCAUGCUAAGGCAGUUCACCUUGUCAAUUAAUUUCCACGGGUCCCCUUUGUCCUAGAACACACCCAACCCAGCCACCUAAGUUCUCAAUAGUCCUGUCACCCAGACUGUCUUCUUUGUGCUUCAUCUACUGUUUUGUGAAGUAUUGCAAAGUAAAUUACAAAUAUGACAUUCCAUCCUUAAGUAUUUUCAUAUGCAUAUUAAAAAAAAUAGUGGAGGAGUUCCCAUCGUGGCUCAGUGGUUGGUGAGUCCGACUAGGAACCAUGAGUUUGCGGGUUCGAUCUCUGGCCUUGCUCAGCAGGUUGAGGAUCUAGUGUUGCCGUGAGCUGUGGUGUAGGUUGCAAAUGUGACUCGGAUCCUGCGUUGCUGUGGCUCUGGCGUAGGCCAGCGGCUACAGCUCUGAUUAGACCCUAGCCUGGGAACCUCCAUAUGCCGCAGGAGCGGCCCUAGAAA